UGUGACCGUGGACGAUGAUCCAUGCAGACUCAGCUGAGUUGUGUUUCCUGACUUCGGACAUUGAGUACAUCUUUGAGGCAGUGUUCAUGAAAGGUGUUGAAACUGAUUUUUUCAAAGUAGGGUGUGACUCGGAGGAUUUCUCGAUCUGACGUUCCUUUGCCAUCCACCCGCCCGAUUGGUUUCCGGGUCGGGUCGGGUGUUCGAAAACGAUACCUAUCUCUCCUCUGUGAGGCUUGCACACGUUGGUUUUGAUCCUGAACCAGCAGUUGUUCAUCAUCCCCUGUUUCAACACCAGUCAACAUCGUUAGUUUAUUUUAUUUAUAAUAAAAUAAUUAAAACCAUUACAUAGAUGCUAUGACGCAAGGUCAUACAGUUCUUACAAAAAGUACAAAGUGGGAUUUAGUCAAACAUCAUUAGCUGGAUACCAUGGGCUAGUCUUCUCUAAUUAAAAUAUAUUUCACAUUUUAACUUUAAUAAAUCAAUAAUACUUAAUCACUAAUGGAACUGUCUAAAAUAGACAAGCAAAGAAGGUAGGUAACACGUUAAGAAAGUCAUGAACCAUAGUACAGUAGUUCCAGCGUUGUAGGAAAUUAUUAAUUAUAAUUUUCAGUUUAGUCAAAUCACACAAAAGAAUAAAUUAAAAAAAUAAAGAGAGAAAGAGUGGUUUACCAUGAGGUUCCAGAUGAGUUUUUCAGGCUGGGUGUUCAAAGACUCGUCCCAGGCUCGAACAGCUACCUCUUUGGCACUAAGCAGAUCAAGAACCUCAACGUCAAGUGACCAGAAACACCAGCACCAGAACUUGCCAUACUUGUUCGGCUUCUCUUGAUGGUCAAGCUCACACACGCUCCACGUCUCUCCUCCGUCUAGAGUCACCUCCACUCUCGUUACCUUCUUCCCUCCUCCUGUUUGUUUCAGAAUAUUAGUUAACCCUCUAGUUUAGUACUUAAUUAAUUAGAGAUUAAUAAAAAUAUUAAUUACCAGAGUAAGCAUAGCCUUUCAAAGUGUAAGGCUUCUGAGUCGUGAAUGCAUUAAUCGGCAAAAUCUCCUCGUGACCAGGUGUCGUUAUCACCGAGUUUAUAUUAAGCUCGUUGAUUAUAUACUCCGGCC
rnacentral:lncRNA from 1 species